GACGUAGGGGGCGAGCGUUGUCCGGAUUCAUUGGGCGUAAAGAGCUCGUAGGCGGCUGUUCAAGUCGAACGUGAAAACUCGGAGCUCAACUCCGAGCCUGCGUUCGAUACUGGACGGCUAGAGUCUGGUAGGGGGAUCUGGAAUUCCUGGUGUAGCGGUGGAAUGCGCAGAUAUCAGGAGGAACACCAAUAGCGAAGGCAGCUCGCUGGGACGUUACUGACACUGAGGCGCGAAAGCGUGGGGAGCGAACAGG
rnacentral:rRNA from 1 species